ACGCUCGACACCACGAGGCAGCAGUGGGGAAUAUUGGGCAAUGGGCGCAAGCCUGACCCAGCAACGCCGCGUGAAGGAAGAAGGCUUUCGGGUUGUAAACUUCUUUUGUCAGGGACGAAGACGUGACGGUACCUGACGAAUAAGCUCCGGCUAACUACGUGCAGCAGCCGCGGUAAUCUGAGCGGGCUGGCAAGGC
rnacentral:rRNA from 1 species